CAGACAUGUGCUCUUGCGAUGUUGUGGCCCUAAAUCCAUCAGCCACUGCAGUUGCCCCUGAAGGUGCACCCCGAGGGGAGUUCAGGAUGGAGAAAAACAGGGUAGUGGCCCCAGACAGUUAAGAUGCAUAUCAAAGUAAUGAUUUCAAUGAGCCCAG